UAAACGAAGGGAACCUGCCCGUGCACCGGGAAUACGCUCUGGAAACGGAGAACAAAUCCCGAUGUACAGGAAGGAGGCAUCUUCUUUCUGUGAAACAUCCUUUAGGGGAUGGGGCGCGGAUGGACCUGCGGUGCAUUAGUUGGUUGGCGGGGUAAAGGCCCACCAAGACGAUGAUGCACAGCCGGCCUGAGAGGGCGGACGGCCACAUUGGGACUGAGACACGGCCCAGACUCCUGCGGGAGGCAGCAGUAGGGAAUUUUCGUCAAUGGGCGCAAGCCUGAACGAGCGAUGCCGCGUGAGUGAAGAAGGCCUUCGGGUCGUAAAGCUCUGUUGCGGGGGAAAAAAGGCAGCAUCAGGAAAUGGGUGCUGACUGAUGGUGCCCCGCCAGAAAGUCACGGCUAACUACGUGCCAGCAGCCGCGGUAAUACGUAGGUGGCGAGCGUUAUCCGGAAUGAUUGGGCGUAAAGGGUGCGCAGGCGGUCCUGCAAGUCUGGAGUGAAACGCAUGAGCUCAACUCAUGCAUGGCUUUGGAAACUGGAGGACUGGAGAGCAGGAGAGGGCGGUGGAACUCCAUGUGUAGCGGUAAAAUGCGUAGAUAUAUGGAAGAACACCAGUGGCGAAGGCGGCCGCCUGGCCUGUUGCUGACGCUGAGGCACGAAAGCGUGGGGGAGCAAAUAGGAUUAGAU
rnacentral:rRNA from 1 species